rnacentral:rRNA from 1 species
UACGUAGGGGGCAAGCGUUGUCCGGAUUUAUUGGGCGUAAAGAGCGUGUAGGCGGCCAGGUAGGUCCGUUGUGAAAACUCGAGGCUCAACCUCGAGACGUCGGCGGAAACCCUCUGGCUAGAGUCCGGAAGAGGAGAGUGGAAUUCCUGGUGUAGCGGUGAAAUGCGCAGAUAUCAGGAAGAACACCCGUGGCGAAGGCGGGUCUCUGGGCCAAAACUGACGCUGAGGAGCGAAAGCGUGGGGAGCGAACAGG